UACGUAGGGGGCAAGCGUUGUCCGGAAUCGAUUGGGCGGUAAAGAGCGUGUAGGCGGCUCGAUAAGUCUGCUGUGAAAGUCCAGGGCUCAACCCUGGAAGGCCGGUGGAAACUGUCGGGCUAGAGUCCGGAAGAGGCGAGUGGAAUUCCCGGUGUAGCGGUGAAAUGCGCAGAUAUCGGGAGGAACACCAAUGGCGAAGGCAGCUCGCUGGGACGGUACUGACGCUGAGACGCGAAAGCGUGGGGAGCAAACAGG
rnacentral:rRNA from 1 species